ensembl:lncRNA
CCCAAAAGUAGCAAACAGCUGCUGUGCCUAAGACACAGCCAGUACUUACUGGAAUAUGAGAUGCAAACCAUACUGUUCUGGUUCUCAAGAAACUAUUUUACUCCUACUUUCUGUGUAUUAAAUCUCCAUUUUCCCCCAUAGAUAUUUUUUCCUUUUUAUGGCCACACCCAUGGCAUUUGAAAGUUUCCUGGCCAGGGGCUCAAUUGGAGCUGCAGCUGCUGGCCACAGACAUGUCACAGAUGCAGUUCAGAUCUGGCAUUGCUGUGGCUGUGGUAUAGGCUGGUGGCUAUGGCUGAUUCGACCCCUAGCCUGGGAUCUUCCAUACACCAUGGGUGUUGCCCUAAAAAGACUAAACAAAACAUUUAAAAAAAAAAUAUUUUUAAAUCAUCCUCACUUCUGGCUGGCUGGUUGCAACUUCCAUCUAUAAUACAGUCUUUUUGAGAUCCUGUAACUGUUUUACAAGCCCAGGGUAUAAAUGCAAGAAAAAUGAAGUGAUUUUUGAUGAUCUCUGAAGUUAGGGGAAAAAUUAUCUUUUUCCAUGGUGGAAUAAUGGCUUUUUCCUGCUCCUGCCUAGCAAGUCAUUUUCAGGGCAGAAGAAGCCCCUUCCCACGAGUAGCUUCUGAAGUGUGGUGGGUGUUCACCUUCCCAAGGGGGCUUCCCUGGCUACCACUUGCCUCUGCAAACCCUGAGGGGACAACAAGCAUCAUUCACCCUCCAGUUAUGGGACAGGCUGCUCAGUUUCCUUCCUCACUCAGGCUAACCGGGCUAAUGGCCAGCCUUUAAUCUCUCAGAGCCCAUUUAGCUCUUGUUGGGGAAAAAAGGGACUGAUAUAUUUUUAUAUUCACAAAAGAUGCUUUUUUAUUUUAUUUUAUUUUAUUUUUCUUUUCAGGGCUGCACCUCUAGCAUCUGGAAGUUCUCAGGCUAUGGUUCAAACUGGAGCUGUAGCUGCUGGCCUAGACCACAGCCAAAGCAACACCAGAUCCAACCCACAUCUGCAACCUACACCACAGCUCAUGGCAACGCUGGAUCCUUAACCCACUGUAUUAUGCCAAGGAAUGAACCUGUAUCCUUGCGGAUACUAGUUGGAUUCUUAACCCACUGAGCCUCAACAGGAACCCCCCAAAAUUGCUGUUUUGACAUUGAAAAUUUCCCAAUUAGAAGAAAUUAAAUUUUUCAUUUCCCAACAACCCUUUCUUAUUUUUUAUUGUAAAUUUUUUAUCAUAACUCCGUUAAUUUUUUAACAAGUUUUAUAAAAUAGUGAUUAGAUUUUCUAAUAGUACCUUUAAAGAUUUGAACUUGAAGCCAAACUCUUUUAUUUCCAUUGGAUUCUUAGAGCCCCAUUUGUAAUGUGUAUUCUUUUUUUCCUAAGUUCUUCCAUAUUUCCAUAUAUUUCAUAUAUAUCUUCAAAGAGUCUGUUGAGUGAUAAUCAGCUUUGUCCUAAUUAGAAGAAAGCAUUCCUAGUUUGUGAUCCUGCAGAAUUGAUACCUUUUAGAAAUGUGGCUCACUUUAGUGAGAUAUAGGGUAUAAAUAAGGCUAUGAAAAUUUUGUAGGUCGUUCAGUCAGUGAUUUGCCCUGUUCAUGACCCCUUCCAAGCAGGCUGCUUUACAAUCUGGAGCCUGGCAGAGUGAGCUGUAACACAAUUGAUCCCAGCUGUAUCCCACAGCUCACUGUUCUCUUCAUUGAUUUAUUCCCAGUCUACUGUCCACUUUAUCCCAUUUAGCUGAUCAAUUAAUCUCUGAUAUAAUUCAUGGACAUUGUUUGAAAAUAAUGCAGGUGCUACUUCCUUAGCAGCAGCAGUGAUGGAGUUCCUUGGGUGUGUAUGAAAGCACAGCAGCAUUCAUGCUCACCUGAAGCCAGGAAGCCUCCUCAAGAAGGUUUAAGGAAUAGAUUAGUCUUAGCACCCUGAAGGCAAGGACUGUGGCUGGCCUUAUUGACCUCUUAUAGCACCAUCACCUGUCUCAGUACCUAACACAAAGGUGAUACUCAGAGGUAUUUGUGGACCAAAUGAAGAAAAUGCAAAUGUAUUGAUUUUAAUGGCAAAGUACCUUGACUUGAUUGGUAAGCAUCUCUCCAGCCCCAACCCCUGAUAUUCAGAAGCUGUGUUUAUUCCAUUGAAAGACAAACUUAUGGUUACCAACAGGGACAGGUUGGGGGCAGGGGAGAGAUGGACUGGGGGUUUUGGAUUGGCAUGUGCACACUGAGGGAUAUGGAAUGAUUGGUCAAUAGGGACCUGCUGUAUAGCAUAGGGAACUCUACCCAAUACGCUGUGAUCAUCUACGUGGGAAGAGAAUCUGAAAGAGAACAGAUGUGUGUACAUGUAUAACUGAAUCGCUUUGUUGUCUAGCAGAAAUGAUCCCAAUGUUAUAAAUCAACUAUACUUCAAUAAAACUUUCAAAAAUGAAAAACAAAAAGACAAAGCUAUGAAAUAUACCAGAAGUCAAAAGAACUGGGGUAAGUGAUGACAAAGAAGAAAGAGUGAGAACUUUGGUGUCAGACAGACAUGUUCAAACUCCAGCUCUCCUUCCUACUGACUCUGUGCCUUUUGAUUUUCCUCAAACUCUAUGCAGUUCUUUUUCCCCCGUCUGGAAAAUCAGGCGGAAAAUCAGGGUAACAAUGCCCGCCUCAUGGAGCUCUUGUGAGAAUUAGGUGAUACAAUGCAUGUAAUGUAAAGGAACAAAGGCAUAAAGCAGCAUGCAUGUUUGGAAAGCUAUCAGCAGUUUUUUGUUUUUUGUUUUUUUGUUUUUUUGUUUUUUUUUUUUUUUUUGAGCACAGAGUGCCUGUGGGAGAGGAAAUGCAAGAAAAGGCGCAGGCUGGUCAUCAAGAGCCUUGGGUUGCUGGCUAAUGGAUUUGAACUUCAAGCUAAAACCUUUGGGAUGCCCUUAAUGUAUUUUAAGCAAGGGAGAGGAAUCCUGAGAUCACAUUUGCAUUUGAUUAAAGUGGCUCUGGCAGAGCAAUACUGGAUUAGAAAAUGCUCACUCUUAACCUUUCCAGCUUCUCCACCUCAUUCCUCACACCUACUCUUUGGUCUUAGAGACCUGUGUACACAGCAUGGGCCUUGGUUUCUUGACCUCUGAGCUUUUGCAUAUACAAUUCCUUCUUCUUAGGACAUGCUUUUCCUCUUUAGAGUAUUAUUCAUAAAGAAAAAAAA